rnacentral:rRNA from 1 species
AAAAUAUAAGGUAAUUCCUGCCCAGUGACAACAAAGUUCAACGGCCGCGGUAUCCUAACCGUGCAAAGGUAGCAUAAUCACUUGCCUAUUAAUUGUAGGCUAGAAUGAAUGGAUAAACGAAAUAAAAACUGUCUCAGUUAGUAAACUAAAAAUUAUUCUCUAUAUGAAGAAAUGUAGAUUAAUUCGAAGGACAAGAAGACCCUAUAGAGCUUUAUUUUUAAUUAUAGAAUAAGACUAUAUAAAAAUUCGGUUGGGGCGACCAAGGGAUUAUAUAUCACCCUUUAUAAAAUAGAUAAAUUAAUCAAUAUAAUGACCCUAUAAAGAUCAAAAAAUUAAGUUACCUUAGGGAUAACAGGCUAAUCCCAUUUAAGAGUCCAUAUCAACAAUGGGGUUUGGCACCUCGAUGUUGGCUUAGGGUAUCAAUAUAGCGCAAAAGUUAUAUAAAGAUGGUUUGUUCAACCAA